rnacentral:rRNA from 1 species
UGAGUACGAGAUGCUACGGCAUCGAAGCAGUCUAUGUCAUACUUCCAAGAAAAGCUUGCACUGUCAGAAACAGAUAAUGCCUGUACCAUAACCGACACAGGUGGGUAGGUAGAGUAUACUAAGGGGCGCGAGAUAACUCUCUCUAAGGAACUCGGCAAAAUGACUCCGUAACUUCGGGAGAAGGAGUGCCUUAUUUUUAAGGUUGCAAUAACAAGAUCCAAGCAACUGUCUACCAAAAACACAGGUCUCCGCUAAGUCGUAAGACGAUGUAUGGGGGCUGACGCCUGCCCAGUGCCAGAAGGUUAAAGAAGUCGGUUAGCAUUCGCGAAGCUGGUAACUGAAGCCCUGGUGAACGGCGGCCGUAACAAUAACGGUCCUAAGGUAGCGAAAUUCCUUGUCGGGUAAGUUCCGACCCGCACGAAAGGCGUAAUGAUUUGGAUACUGUCUCGGAGAGGGGCUCGGUGAAAUAGACUUGUCUGUGAAGAUGCGGACUACCUGCACCUGGACAGAAAGACCCUAUGAAGCUUUACUGUAACUUGAAAUUGAAAUUGGACUUUAUUUGCGCAGUAUAGGUGGGAGGCGUUGAAAAUAUUCUUGCGGGAAUAUUGGAGCCAUCAGUGAGAUACCACUCUUGUAAUGUUAGAUUUCUAACUUUAUAUCAUUAUCUGGUUAAAGAACAGUUUCAGGCGGGCAGUUUGACUGGGGCGGUCGCCUCCCAAAUGGUAACGGAGGCGCACAAAGGUUUCCUCUGAACGGGUAGAAAUCGUAUCUAGAGUGUAAAGGCAUAAGGAAGCUUGACUGUGAGACCUACAAGUCGAGCAGGGACGAAAGUCGGUCUUAGUGAUCUGACGGUGCUGAGUGGAAAGGCCGUCACUCAACGGAUAAAAGUUACUCUAAGGAUAACAGGCUGAUCUCCCCCAAGAGUUCACAUCGACGGGGAGGUUUGGCACCUCGAUGUCGGCUCAUCGCAUCCUGGGGCGGUAGUACGUCCCAAGGGUUGGGCUGUUCGCCCAUGAAAGCGGUACGCGAGCUGGGUUCAGAACGUCGUGGGACAGUUCGGUCCAUAUCCGGUGUAGGCGUUAGAAUAUUGAGAGGAGCCUUCUUUAGUACGAGAGGACCGAGAAGGACAUACCUCUGGUGUACCAGUUAUCGUGCCAACGGUAAACGCUGGGUAGCUAUGUAUGGAGUGGAUAACCGCUGAAAGCAUCUAAGUGGGAAGCCCACCUCAAGAUAAGUAUUCCC